AACCUACCUGUAGGAGUCGUAGCUUACUUAUCCUGGUGGAUGCAACUGGCAGGUGCCAGAAUUCUUGCUCGCCCACGGUCCCUCUUCCUGGCUCCUUCCUUUGGCCCAAGCACGUGAACCAAAUAGAUGUUUUGCACCGAAGUGGCGUGCGGAGGAAUCGCUACUAGACUAGAUUUAAAAUGGCAGCACAUUUCUGGGAAUUUGGUUCCGGCUCUAUAGAGCCUUGAGUACCUUUACUGUGCCAGACCUAGAGCAGAAAUCUGAGCUGGAAGCAGGCAAGGCCAGUGGCCAAUCAAAAGACUGUACUGACUGCUGGUGAGACUGCUGCAAUGGCUGGUUAGUGUGCCCCGCUCCUCCAGCAGCCAACGCACUGCCUCAAUACCCUCAUUCAAGGUCACCAGCUGCUGCAGGAUCUUCACGUCAAUAGCUCGAAGGCACUCUGGAGGUGGAAGGAAGAGGAGCAGAAGUUCAAGGCCAUUCUCAGCUAUGUUGGCAGUUCAAGACCAGCCAGAGCUUCAUGAGACCCUGUUUUCAAAUUAAUGAAAAUA